GAGUUUGAUCAUGGCUCAGGACGAACGCUGGCGGCGCGCUUAACACAUGCAAGUCGAGCGAGGACCUGGCUUCGGCCAGGGGAAAGCGGCGAACGGGUGAGUAACACGUGGGCAACCCACCCUUGGUAUCCGGAUAGCCCGGGGAAACUCGGAUUAAUACGGAAUGGCCCAACAGCUCUUCGGGGCGGUUGGAAAAGGUAGCUUCGGCCUCCGACCAAGGACGGGCCCGCGGUGGAUUAGCUUGUUGGUGAGGUAACGGCCCACCAAGGCGACGAUCCAUGGCUGGUCUGAGAGGACGAUCAGCCACACUGGGACUGAGACACGGCCAGACUCCUACGGGAGGCAGCAGUGGGGAAUCUUGCGCAAUGGGCGAAAGCCUGACGCAGCGACGCCGCGUGGGGAAGAAGGCUUUCGGUUGUAAACCCUUUCAGGAAGGACGAAGCCACUCGGGUUAAUAGCCCAGAGGGUGACGGUACUUUCAGAAGAAGCCCCGGCUAACUACGUAGCCAGCCGCCGCAGU
rnacentral:rRNA from 1 species